rnacentral:snRNA from 1 species
GAUACUACACUUGAUCUUAG